CAAAUACUCCCUCCGUCCAGAAAUUCUUGUCAUCAAAAUGGAUAAAAGGAAAUGUAUCUAGACGUAUUUUAGUUUUAGAUACAUCUCUUUUUAUCCAUUUUGAUGACAAGUAUUUUCGGACGGAGGGAGUAGAAA
rnacentral:pre_miRNA from 1 species